UGAGGCCCGAGUUCUUGAGGGGGGUUGAUGAAUUCAUUGAAUUUUGCAAAGCAAAUCCUGAAAGCCCAGGUUUGGAUGAAGUUAGAUGCCCGUGUCCGAAAUGCAAGAACAGACGUAUGCAUGACGCAGACACGGUUAAAGUGCACGUGUAUAGAAAGGGAUUUAUACCUGAUUACUACGAUUGGUAUUCUCAUGGUGAAGAGUUACCUCGAUCCGCACAUGAGCCAUCUAAUCCAUACCGUGAAAUGAUUUUCGAUGCUCUUGGGAAUAACUCAGAACCGUCCAAUGUUGAAGAGCCUAGUGGAAUGGACGAGGAGCCUAAUCCUCAAGCAAAGGUGUUUCUUGACCUAUUAAAGGCUUCUGAGGAACCAUUGUACGAAGGGAGCUCCAUGUCCGUGUUGGAAAUGGCAUCUAGAAUAGUAUCUCUGAAAUGUGAGUAUAAUUUGCCACAUAGGUGUGUUGAUGCGUUUGCUUCAUUAGUGAAAGAAGCAAUACCUAACAACAACAACAUGAGUAACACAUUUUACGAUACGAAGAAGAUUUUGGAGGGAUUAGAGCUUCCCCACGAGAGGAUUCAUGCGUGCCCCAAAGGUUGUAUGUUAUUUUGGAGAACUGAUGCACACUUGGACAGAUGUACAGUGUGCGAUAGCGACAGAUACAAAAGGACUUCUAAGGGGUCUUUAGUUCCAAUGAAAGUUCAGAUUUAUUUAUAGCCCGAACCUUGGCUCUGAGACACAACGAGAUGAUUCACAGGCACGUGACAUUGGUGACCAUGUACCGGAGACGCCGAGCAGCCAGAGGGAGGAAGCUGAAGGGUCAAACCGUGCAUCAAAAAGGGUUUUGAGCCCUACUGGAUUGUGGUUUGAUGAUAACAAAGUUAGCGGGUCCAUCACUGACAUUUUCCAGGGUCAUUUCCGAGAACCUUGGUUUAACUACCGUGAGGUGGACGAUGCAACAAAGACGCAUUGGUGGAACUCAUUCACGGGUCUUUACGAAUGGGCUCCUGAGUUAGAUGGCCAAGUGAGAAAAGCAUACCAGAUGAAAGCUGGAACUCGUUUGAGAGAUUUGCGGUAUUGGGUGCUAACAAAGCUAAAGAAAGGCCAAAAUGGUUGGGGAAAACCAUUUAUGAAACUAUGAAAAAGAAAAGUCAGGAGCCCGCAUUCCUCGAGAAAUCUGAGAAGGCAAAGAAGAACCGAAGAGGUGGCUCCCUCUCUAAUCCAGUUGAGCCGUCGCACUUUCAGGGUUCCAUCUCGGCGGCACAACAUGCUAAAAAGAUGGCAAAGAGUAGAGGAGGAGUACUCCCUACCGCCCCCGAGUUGUUCUUGAAGACUCAUUUCAAAACUGUUGCUGGAAAAGGAGAAAUUGCAGCAAACAAGAGAGCAAAACAAAUUUCGGAGACGUACAACAAGAA